rnacentral:rRNA from 1 species
AUGGUUCCAAACAGCGCAGCAAGCAAACACAGAAGAGACAGCGCAAGAGGCCACCCGUUGCAAUCAGACCGCCCAAACACAACAGCAGCACAAGCACAGCAAGCAAGUCCAAAAUUCAAAAUAACGUGGCAGCAAUUUGUGUUCAGCAUCCGUCACGGUGAGUCGGUGACCACGGGCCAGCAUGAUGACCAAGAAGUUGACCGGCGGAGGAGGGCUUGCAACCAAGAACCAACCAACGGCACGGCAGGGCACGCGCACGCCCGCACCGCAGGCCAUCAUGGUCAGAAUCGUCACACCGUCGUCACCUUUCAGCGUACUACUAGUGCCCUCCCACUCGCCCCCCACUCCGCCAAAAGUCCACCCUUUCCCUCCCUCCCUCCCUCGGCCCCUCCCACGCCCGCCGCCCCGCCCCGCGCCCAAACGCCCGCCCGCCCGCCAUAA